UUCCCAACAAAGAACAAGAACCUAAUUUCAUGCCAGAGAAUGAAAAUGGAGCCUAUGGCCUAUAUGGUCAUGACUCUGUCACCACUAAUAAUCCUUCUGUCCACAAUCUUCCCAACAGCAAAUACCUUCCCAAGAAUUACAACCCUGUUUCUUAUGUGACUGUCCCUGAGGACAACACUAAUGAAAAUGAUUUGAAUAACAAUGAGUUCACACCCAAGCACACUACAACCACCACUGCCUCUAAUAACAACCAAUUCUACAGUGGUCCCACCAAUUACGGGAACAGCAACAACAACAAUAACAACAACCAACAACAGUACUAUAAUGGCGUCAGUGAUUAUAGUACUAGGAGCAACAACCAGCAGCAACAGUUCUACGGCGGUGACAACUUUUACAGUAACAACCAGCAGAAGCAGCAGUACUACAACGGUGGCAACACUUACAAUAAUAACGAUAACAACAACAACAAUGAAGAGGAGGAGUACUACAAUAAUGGUAACACUUAUUACAACAAUAACAACAACAACGAGCAAGAGGAGUUGAGUGAAACAAGAUUAAGUGCCAGUACUUACAGCACCAACCCAACAAAUUACGGAAACAAUUACAACAACAAUCAAGAACAAAGCUAC
rnacentral:lncRNA from 1 species